rnacentral:lncRNA from 1 species
UUUUACGCCCCAGGCGAACCAGCAACAACUCCCUACUGUCACAUGCAUAUGCAGGAUAAGACACCACACUAAUCAUGUAAAUGCCGGCCAGUAUCCAGAACAGAAAUCCAUCUCACAUCUAUAUAUACGGCACCUCGCGGGAAUUCUACAUCCGCGGAAAGCCAUACUGCACCUCGCGGGGUCUUACUAUGCCCGGCGGCAAGCAGAAUAUAAGUCGUAGGACUGGCCAAUCCUACGCCUAGGGCUGUGUCCCCCCUAGGAAGGGACUGGGCUCCGCCCACCCAGAAGGUUACUAUGUGCACAUAGGCCGAUGUUCAACCCCCAUCGACUAUAGGUGUCCUGCAGAUACUGCCAAGCCAUGCAUGAAUGCCAUAAUGCACCCUCCCAAUACUCUACUAAAAAGGAGCAUAAUCAAGACUACCACU